rnacentral:rRNA from 1 species
GCGGCGUGCCGCUUGCGGCCGGUGAACAGGUGCUGCAUGGCUGUCGUCAGCUCGUGCUGUGAAGUGUUGGGUUAAGUCCCGCAACGAGCGCAACCCCUGCCGUCUGUUGCCACCACGAAAGGUGGGGACUCAGGCGGGACCGCCGGUGACAAACCGGAGGAAGGUGGGGACGACGUCAAGUCCAUCAUGGCCCUUAUGUCCUGGGCCACACACGUGCUACAAUGGCCGGUACAGAGCGCAGCGAGGCCGCGAGGCGGAGCGAAUCGCUUAAAGCCGGUCCCAGUACGGAUUGGAGUCUGCAACCCGACUCCAUGAAGUUGGAAUCGCUAGUAAUCGCGCAUCAGCAUGGCGCGGUGAAUACGUUCCCGGGCCUU